GGUGCUUUUCGUCGGGCGGUGCUGGGUUUAGCUAACGUGACGGCGUAUGAGUGGUAAUUGGGUUGUAUCCGACGGCAGGCUCCGUGCUUCGGCAUCGAACUGUCGGCUCGUAUCCCGCUUCAGUGAUGCGUCAAAGAUCUGUCUUGCGCGCAAGAUGGGUUUCUGUUUUGGCUACCUAUUGCGAAGGAAUGCUGCCUMUCGUCGUCCCUUUCCUCCUCUCGCUGGCCUUGUCGGUGGGAGGACGACAUCGUAGCGGUGCUCGUGUCCCGGACAAGCCGCACUCGUUGCGAUGCAGUUUCGGUGCUCGAGUCUCCGCUCGACAUCUCGGAUGCGGAACACYAAAGGGGCGGUGGGUCUUUACGGCCUCCGAUCGUCCGCUCGAAGCCUUGUCGCUUGACGCGUACGACUGCCGUGCCCGUCGCGGGACGGCGACCGUCAAGGUCGUCCGUCUGGCGCGGYGCCGGCGUCGAAGAGGAAUGC
rnacentral:misc_RNA from 1 species